ensembl:lncRNA
AUUUAAAUUACAGACAUAUGAUUGUGAAUGUAAAAGUUGUGAAUGUGGAAGUUGGCUGUUAAAACAGUACAUAUUGUAACAUGUAUUUACAAUGUUUUUUUGUAGCACACCGUUGUUAUGCCUACCUUACUUGGGGAGAUAUUGCUUCAACGUCAUGUACCAAAAAAUGGCUUAGCUGCCUUAGUGACCCUACACACUUCAGUAAACUACUCAAACACAGCGACAGAGCGUAGAUUUCACACUUAGUUCUACAUACAUUUGUGUGGCUCAAAUUAUACGAGGUCGCUCUGUUUGCGCGAAGUAUGUAGCGGCCUUUAGGAGUCUUGGGCUUGGCAUACUUGGUCUGCUCCAAAAUGCAGGUGUUUCAGCCUAGCUCAGUGCUUUCUGAGGUGGAGGGGCAGCCAGCGGAAAAUAAAGAGCGUAGAGUCCCCAGUUGUCUUGAAAGCACCAUAAAUCCAGAGAACCCCAGACUUUGCUGACAAUGUUCCAUGACAAAAUUUUCUCUCAAGAAGAACCGCUGCGCCACCUUGCUGUUCAAGUGGGCACAGCACAAUGGUUUCCUUGCCCCAGUUGGCUCGGAGGGCGUCCAUCCCACGUCGGGCCUCAGCUGGAUCGUCAGUUCUUGUUUGCCCGGCUGGUCCAGGACUUUUUGUCUUUUGUUUUGGUGACAUCGGGUUGGAUCCUACCGCCGAUGGAACCGGGGAUGCCUAAGCCAGCAUUCCCUUCCCCUUUCUCACGCCCUGGCUGGCUCGAGAGGUUUUCUGGCUUGGCGGCUUCCCAUCCCACGUCACACUCCACUGGAUCAUCGGGCUCCCCUUCUACUGCGGUAUCGGCAGUCGUCUUGCCUCAGCCGGAUCGCCAGGCUCUCGCGCUCCUGCCGGGUUAUCGGGUUUUCAAGCACCGACCGACUUGCCCAGCACCCAUAUCUCGGCCGGUUCGCCCAGCUGGGACGCUGGGUGGAGUCCCAAGAGGGAGGGGUACUGUCACGUCUGCUCCCGCUCUUCCCUUCCCCUGGCGCUUGAGGGUGCCAGAUUACCCUGCAUCCGCACUCCUGCCAUCCAUCACGCACACCUGCCUUCCCUCGUCACGCGCAUCAGCGUUAUCUGACUCACCUGGACUCACUUAUUUCCUCCCCUAUAUUUGUCAGUUCCCCAGCUCUAUUUCCCGCUGCUGCAUUGAUUGUCUUUUGUCUUAGUUUGUUUGCUGACGCUGUGCUUGUCUUGUUAUAUGUCCGUUAUGUAUUAAAUGUUACUCACGGUACCUGCUUCGUCUCUCCAACUCAUGUGAUAGUGUUGGUGAUAAAAGCUAGCAUUCUAUAGACAAGAUCUGGUGUGUGUGACUCAAGAUAGAGAGAGCCUGGAAGAGUUAAGAACAAUGCCUCAUUGUCUCAUCUUCCUGGCAUCUGGGAAACGAAGUAAAAGACCAUCCUGUGUAGAAAACCAAGGUGGCUUAUGGGAAGGUUAGAAGUGACUGACUAAGCAAUCUUGGUAUCAGCUAUAUAAAAACUGUGCAUCGUCUGUAAAGGCAAUGCUCUCAGCCUAACAGUCAGGCAAGACUGGUGGGCUGAUGGUCUCAUUAUUGCAAUAAUUAA